rnacentral:rRNA from 1 species
UGAAUACGAGACGCUACGGCGUCGAAGCAGUCUAUGUCAUACUUCCAAGAAAAGCUUGCACUGUCAUAAACAAAUAAUGCCUGUACCAUAACCGACACAGGUGGGUAGGUAGAGUAUACUAAGGGGCGCGAGAUAACUCUCUCUAAGGAACUCGGCAAAAUGACUCCGUAACUUCGGGAGAAGGAGUGCCUUAUUUAUAAGGUUGCAAUAACAAGAUCCAAGCAACUGUUUAUCAAAAACACAGGUCUCCGCUAAGUCGUAAGACGAUGUAUGGGGGCUGACGCCUGCCCAGUGCCAGAAGGUUAAAGAAGUUGGUUAGCAUUAGCGAAGCUGAUAACUGAAGCCCUGGUGAACGGCGGCCGUAACAAUAACGGUCCUAAGGUAGCGAAAUUCCUUGUCGGGUAAGUUCCGACCCGCACGAAAGGCGUAAUGAUUUGGAUACUGUCUCGGAGAGGGGCUCGGUGAAAUAGACUUGUCUGUGAAGAUGCGGACUACCUGCACCUGGACAGAAAGACCCUAUGAAGCUUUACUGUAACCUGAAAUUGAAAUUGGACUUUAUUUGCGCAGUAUAGGUGGGAGGCGUUGAGAAUAUUCUUGCGGGAAUAUUGGAGCCAUCAGUGGGAUACCACUCUUGUAAUGUUAGAUUUCUAACUUUGAAUCAUUAUCUGGUCAAAGAACAGUUUCAGGCGGGCAGUUUGACUGGGGCGUCGCCUCCUAAAUGGUAACGGAGGCGCACAAAGGUUUCCUCUGAACGGGUAGAAAUCGUAUCUAGAGUGUAAAGGCAUAAGGAAGCUUGACUGUGAGACCUACAAGUCGAGCAGGGACGAAAGUCGGUCUUAGUGAUCUGACGGUGCUGAGUGGAAAGGCCGUCACUCAACGGAUAAAAGUUACUCUAGGAUAACAGGCUGAUCUCCCCUAAGAGUUCACAUCGACGGGGAGGUUUGGCACCUCGAUGUCGGCUCAUCGCAUCCUGGGGCGGUAGUACGUCCCAAGGGUUGGGCUGUUCGCCCAUGAAAGCGGUACGCGAGCUGGGUUCAGAACGUCGUGAGACAGUUCGGUCCAUAUCCGGUGUAGGCGUUAGAAUAUUGAGAGGAGCCUUCUUUAGUACGAGAGGACCGAGAAGGACAUACCUCUGGUGUACCAGUUAUCGUGCCAACGGUAAACGCUGGGUAGCUAUGUAUGGAGAGGAUAACCGCUGAAAGCAUCUAAGUGGGAAGCCCACCUCAAGAUAAGUAUUCUC